UCAUCAUCAUCCUUAAUUACUCCAGCUUCUCUCUCCAUUUUUGACUUCUCAAAUUCCAGCCAAACCCUAGCCGCCUCCACCACCGUUUUCGCCGAUACAAGCUUAAAUUCAUCCGCUGUUACCUUCGAUUUUCAGUCAUCCGUUCUGUUCUGAACAAUACUCCACCGCCACCAUCACCGUUUUCGCCAAUAAGAAGAGUUCUUAAAAUGACAAAAAGAGGACGACCAACAAAUUCACAACAAUCCCAGCAAGAGGAGAUGCAAUUGUGUAUGAGGACAACUAAAAACAAACGGUGCAGAGUGAGUUCCUUUCGUUGGAACCGUUCAAAGCUGUCAGCCCGGUCAUUAUAGACACUUGGUGCUCUUAC